CGCCUGUUUAUCAAAAACAUAGCCAUUCGAUAAUAUGAUAUGGUUUAACCUGCCCAAUGUAUUUAAUAUUAAUGGCCGCGGUACCCUGACCGUGCUAAGGUAGCGUAAUCAGUUGACUUUUAAAUGAAGUCAGGUAUGAAUGGAAUAACCGAGCUUGGCUGUCUCUAAAUUAAUAUAUUGAAUUUACUUUUUAAGUGAAAAAGCUUAAAUCUUGAAAAGGGACGAGAAGACCCUUAGAAUUUUUUCAAAAUUUAACUAUUCGAUUUUAUUGGGGCGAUAAAGAAAUAGUUAGAACUUUCUUUAAAUACAUGCCGAUUAUAUUAUGAAAGAAUAAAUUACCUGAGGGAUAACAGCAUAAUCCUAAAAAUGGGUUUGUGACCUCGAUGUUGGACUAGGAAACUAAUAGGUUAGUCGUCUAUUAUGUUAGGUUCUGUUCGAACUUUAAUUCCU
rnacentral:rRNA from 1 species